ensembl:lncRNA
ACUGGGGAGGGGCUGGGGGGUGGGCAGCAGGUCCUUGCAUAUCAGUCACUGUCACUUUAUGUUCUGGGGACUACCCCUGUUCUCCAAGGACUGACUUUUCACAGUUGGAAUUUCCAGCCCUCGGGAGACAGAGAAGGCAAAGGGACAAAGCACUUGGGAGGCGAGCCCUGCACCUCUCUGAGCCUCUUCUGUAGCUGGGUAGGAGGAUGUGGAGACUGCCUGUGAACAGCCCUGACAACUUGCCUGGCAUGUGACAGCCGCUCUCUCUCUGGAUCGGAACCUGCGGUACUCUGCCUCCUGAGAAAUGUGGGCUGUGAUGGACGACUAGAUGGUGCCCCAACUAAGAUGAAGAACACGGCGCCGGGGGCAGCAGACACCAGGAGAAUCAAUAAACUAUAAUUAUCAAGAGCGGUGUCUGUGAGAGGUGUGGAGUCCUGUGGACAGAGAGAGACAGAGGAGGGGGCGAGAGCGAGACACACGCACAUCCUGAGAGAUGCAGAAGACGCAUGCGCCCAAGGACGCGAAAGCCAGAAGGGAGAAGCAGAAUGGGUGUGAUGUACACAGGCCCUCCACCCCUGCGCCGCACCCCGCCCCACCCCCGGCCCCAACCUUGCUGAUGGGCCUGGCAGAAGGUGCAAGAGCAGGUCUCCCACCUAUUUAUAUAGCCCUCAGCUUUUUACAUUCUCCAAGUCCUCAGCCAUAUCAUUUUUUUGCAUUACAAAAAGAAUAUCAGAGCCUCAAUAUAAGAAUGGAUUCCACUGAUAACAUCAAAUCCAUUCAUUUGAUUAGGCUGAGAUGCGAAGUCAAUAUAGAUUGCAAUAUAUUGCUUUAGAAACAUGACUUCCACAUCACCAGGGUCUUCAUCGUCCCUGAGUUUACCACUGUCCUCUGGGCCCACCACUACUCCAUGCGGUUUUUGAUCCAGCACUUCUGGAACUGAUGUACGAGACUGUCACCAGGAGUUCUUGAGGAGCCUCGUGUACCCGCUGCUGUCAGUGAGCUCUGCCUGUUGCUGCUUAACCUGAUAUAGUGUGAAGCCCUCUUGAAAUGCUACCUUUUCUGAUCCCCAACACUUGAGGUCUCACCACUCCCCCGAGAAAGGAUUAUUGAAUCUGUGUUCAUUUUCUUGGCCCCAUUUGAUCUGGGAACCUAGUGACCUUUAUCAGCACACAACUGGCCUGAUUUGAAGUCAUUUGGGGUUGGUGUGUCUUCUGAAUUUAUUAGAGAGGUUCUCAUAGGAGGCAUGCUUUUGUGACACUCAGAUUGUCAGAGUCCCUCCCCAUGUCCUUUUUUAAGGUUAGUAUUUUUUUUUUUUUUUAAACAAACGCAUGCAAACUAGUUUUACUUUGGGCUUUAUUGUGUGCCUGGCACCAGCCUAAGCAUUUUACAAGCAUUAUCUCAGUCAGCACUUAAUCUCAAUGGCACCAAUAGCAACUAUUUCUUCCCUCAUUUGUGGGAGCUAUUUCUUCCCUCCCUGUCACAGAGCUCACAGGUGGCCAAGCUUAGUGGAUGCCCAGGCCAGCCUGGAAGCCCGGGGCCAUCACCACCUUUCCCAGAGAGGAAACUGAGCCUGAACAGAUUAACACCCAGGGCCUCACAGCUCACCAGAGUUAAGUGACCAGACGGGGUUGGAUCAGGCCCCCCAACUCCCAGAGAAGUUGAAGUGAAAAUGAAGGUACACAAUAAAACCCAGCCUGCAUUGGGGGUCUCCAGGAUGGUCCCACACUUCCCCCCAUCUCCUUCCUACCACCUUGAAGGAUGCACACAGCCUUUCCAGCUCUAGGGGACACAUGGCCGCCCAGGAUCCCAGGCGGCAGGGACACAGGGCUCCUCUGAAUUCUCUUUCCAUUCUGGAUUGGGGGCAGGUGGGGGGACCAUCCAUAAAGCUCCCUCUGGCUUAGAAGCAGAAGGAAGAGACCUGUGUGUGUCCACUUGGCUGAGGGAUCCUCGGUGAGAAGACUGUUCCUGGGUUUGGGUGGCCAUCAGGCGCAGGCACCCACAGCUCUCACCUGGUGCGGAUGCGUGGAGAGGUUUGGAAGCUCUAGGAGAAGAAAGAUGUUGGGAACAAAUAAUACCUGCUGAGACACUCUGAUGAGAGCAUGGGAUGAGAGGACUUCCUGAACCAUGAUGUGCUCCCUGCUCCCUCGACCCCACUGGAACAGGCGUGUCCUCACUUCCUGGGGCUGGAGUGCAAAAGUAGAAAGUCAAGAAAGCUGGAGUAACAGGCAAAUUUGGCAAACACCCUCUUCCAGCAACACAAGAGAAGACUCUACACAUGGACAUCACCAGAUGGUCAACACCGAAAUCAGACUGAUUACAUUCUUUGCAGCCAAAGAUGGAGAAGCUCUAUAUAGUCAGCAAAAAUAAGACGAGGAGCUGACUGUGGCUCAGAUCAUGAACUCCUUAUUACCAAAUUCAGACUUAAAUUGAAGAAAGUAGGGAAAACCACUAGACCAUUCAGGUAUGACCUAAAUCAAAUCCCUUAUGAUUAUACAGUGGAAGUGAGAAAUAGAUUUAAGGGCCUAGAUCUGAUAGAUAGAGUGCCUGAUGAGCUAUGGAAUGAGGUUCAUGGCAUUGUUCAGGAGACAGGGAUCAAGACCAUCCCCAUGGAAAAGAAAUGCAAACAAGCAAAAUGGCUGUCUGGGGAGGCCUUACAAAUAGCUGUGAAAAGAAGAGAAGCAAAAAGCAAAGGAGAAAAGGAAAGAUAUAAGCAUCUGAAUGCAGAGUUCCAAAGAAUAGCAAAAAGAGAUAAGAAAGCCUUCUUUAGUGAUCAAUGCAAAGAAAUACAGGAAAACAACAGAAUGGGAAAGACUAGAGAUCUCUUCAAGAAAAUUAGAGAUACCAAGGGAACAUUUCAUGCAAAGAUGGGCUCAAUAAAGGACAGAAAUGGUAUGGACCUAACAGAAGCAGAAGAUGUUAAGAGGAGGUGGCAAGAAUACACAGAAGAACUGUACAAAAAAGAUCUUCACGACUC